rnacentral:sRNA from 1 species
CCAUAGCCCUGAUGGGAACGGCAUCCUUUUUCUUGGUUGCCUCGGCCUACGCUAUGGCACCGAGAAAAAGAUAUAGUGGACAGCAGGUUCCCGG